rnacentral:rRNA from 1 species
AUUGAACGCUGGCGGUAUGCUUAAGACAUGCAAGUCGUGCGGUAGAAGGCUUCGGCCUUUGAGAGCGGCGGACGGGUGAGUAACACGUGGGAAUCUGCCUAUUAGUGGGGGACAGCCCAGCGAAAGCUGGAUUAAUACCGCAUACGCCCUACGGGGGAAAGCAGCAAUGCGCUAAUAGAUGAGCCCGCGUAAGAUUAGCUAGUUGGUAAGGUAAAGGCUUACCAAGGCGACGAUCUUUAGCUGGUCUGAGAGGAUGGCCAGCCACAUCGGGACUGAGACACGGCCCGGACUCCUACGGGAGGCAGCAGUCGGGAAUAUUGGACAAUGGGCGCAAGCCUGAUCCAGCAAUACCGCGUGUGUGAAGAAGGCCUGCGGGUUGUAAAGCACUUUCAGUUGGGAAGAUAAUGACGUUACCAACAGAAGAAGCACCGGCUAACUCCGUGCCAGCCGCCGCAGUAACAC